rnacentral:rRNA from 1 species
AGUGAACGCUGGCGGUAGGCCUAACACAUGCAAGUCGAACGGCAGCACAGUAAGAGCUUGCUCUUACGGGUGGCGAGUGGCGGACGGGUGAGGAAUACAUCGGAAUCUACUUUUUCGUGGGGGAUAACGUAGGGAAACUUACGCUAAUACCGCAUACGACCUACGGGUGAAAGCAGGGGAUCUUCGGACCUUGCGCGAUUGAAUGGGCCGAUGUCGGAUUAGCUAGUUGGCGGGGUAAAGGCCCACCAAGGCGACGAUCCGUAGCUGGUCUGAGAGGAUGACAGGACACACUGGGACUGAGACACGGCCCAGAAUCCUACGGGAGGAAGCAGUGGGGAAUAUUGAACAAGGGGCGGAAGCCUGAUGCAGAGACGCCGAGUGAGGGAUGACGGCCUUCGGGUCGUAAACCUCUUUCAGCAGGGAAGAAGCGUAAGUGACGGUACCUGCAGAAGAAGCGCCGGCCAACUACGUG